rnacentral:lncRNA from 1 species
AAACUUUGCUUGAGCUGCAAUAUUCAUAUCUGCAUAAGGCUUCUAAGGAAGUAGUUCUAAACUCUUCCAAAGAUUCAUUCAAGAUCACUUGCUAUCUUUCAUGAUCCAAUUUAAGGUACUUACUUUGCUAUGUCACAACAGUUACUUGAUGGUAAUAUUACUAUGCAUAAUUGCCGAACAAUUGUGAUUCCCAACAUUAACGUGUUUUAUGUGAUAUUAAGAAGAUAUUCUCCUAAUAUACCUAGAUUCUCUGCUGGGCUAUAUUUACUUGAUACAAACUCAUGAUAUUCAUAGUAAACAAUGGAUAUGAAGAGAACCACACAAACACUGUUCGAAAGAGCUUAUAAACUAAACUGCCACAUUUCUCCGAAUUCGAAUACCUUCAAGCUCCCUUUAGCUUCCCAUUAUCAAUUAUUAGUACAUUUUUCUAGCCAUAUAGUGCCAUAGAUAACUAAGUUAAGCAUCAGAACAGUCACAUUUCUCUGAAUUCAAAAACCUUCAAGCACUCUAUAGCGUCAAAUUCAUGAAAAGAAACUAAUACGAGAAAGAAAAAAAAUUCCAUUAAUUUGUGUAUGUGUUAAUUCUUGAAUUGCAAUGAACAGUAGUGUUUUAAAGAAAAUAACCUUCCAAGCUAACAAGAGCAAGAAAGUCUCAAGGCCCCAGGCUCCUCGAUCAACAUAAUCUCCAUUAAACACAAAAAACCGAUCUUCACAAGGAAAUCCAGCAUCUUGCAACAAAAACAUAACAUCAUGAAGUUGCCCGUGGACAUCUCCUACAACAACCACUCUAGAAUUUUCAUUACAGUCAUCAAUUCUAACACAAUUAGGCUCUUUGUGCAGAAUUUUCGAGGCGGUGAGGACUAAAGCGUCAAAGACGGAAACAGGGAGGACUGAAGGGAGUUCAGAUGGAGGGAGGUUUUUGGAAGACCAAUCAAAGGC